GACGAACGCUGGCGGCGUGCUUAACACAUGCAAGUCGAACGGAAAGGCCCUGCUUUUGUGGUGUUCUCGGGUGCCGAAGGGGUGAGUAAGAGGUGUGUAACCUGCUCUUGUCUUUGGGGUAACUUCAGGAAACUGGGGCUAAUAUCAUAUAGGAUCUGCUGUACCAUGGUGGGGGUGGGAACGUUUCGGCGGUUGGGGUUGGACUCGCGGCUUAUCAGCUUGUUGGUGGGGUAGUGGCUUACCAAGGCUUUGACGGGUAGCCGGCCUGUGAGGGUGACCGGCCACAUUGGGACUGAGGUACGGACCAGACUCCUACGGGAGGCAGCAGUGGGGAAUAUUGCACAAUGGGCGGAAGCCGGAUGCAGCAACGCCGCGUGCGGGAUGACGGCCUUCGGGUUGUAAACCGCUUUCGCCUGUGACGAAGCGUGAGUGACGAUAAUGGGUAAAGAAGCACCGGCUAACUACGUG
rnacentral:rRNA from 1 species